UGCCUCAGUAACGGCGAGUGAAGCGGCAACAGCUCAAAUUUGAAAUCUGGCCCCAGGCCCGAGUUGUAAUUUGCAGAGGAUGCUUUUGGUGCGGUGCCUUCCAAGUUCCCUAGAACGGGACGCCAGAGAGGGUGAGAGCCCCGUACAGUUGGACACCAAGCCUUUGUAAAGCUCCUUCGACGAGUCGAGUAGUUUGGGAAUGCUGCUCAAAAUGGGAGGUAUAUUUCUUCUAAAGCUAAAUACCGGCCAGAGACCGAUAGCGCACAAGUAGAGUGAUCGAAAGAUGAAAAGCACUUUGAAAAGAGGGUUAAACAGCACGUGAAAUUGUUAAAAGGGAAGCGCUUGUGACCAGACUUGCGUCCGGUGAAUCACCCAGCUCUCGCGGCUGGGGCACUUCGCCGGCUCAGGCCAGCAUCAGCUCGCUGUCGGGGACAAAAGCUUCAGGAACGUAGCUCUCUUCGGGGAGUGUUAUAGCCUGUUGCACAAUACCCUUCGGCGGGCUGAGGUACGCGCUCCGCAAGGAUGCUGGCAUAAUGGUCAUCAGCGACCCGUCUUGAAACACGGACCAAGGAGUCAACCUUAUGUGCGAGUGUUCGGGUGUCAAACCCCUACGCGUAAUGAAAGUGAACGCAGGUGAGAGCUUCGGCGCAUCAUCGACCGAUCCUGAUGUUCUCGGAUGGAUUUGAGUAAGAGCAUAUAGGGUUGGACCCGAAAGAAGGUGAACUAUGCGUGUAUAGGGUGAAGCCAGAGGAAACUCUGGUGGAGGCUCGCAGCGGUUCUGACGUGCAAAUCGAUCGUCAAAUAUGCGCAUGGGGGCGAAAGACUAA
rnacentral:rRNA from 2 species